AUGGCUCUGAGGUUUGGUUUAAUUCUUGCACAAAAGGCGGGAUGCAAUCGUCUUAUUAUUAACUCUGAUAAUAUGGAAGUCAUUGACACAAUGAAAAAUGGAGGACAAUCGGCGGGAGUUGCGGCGGCAGUAUUCGAGGAUUACUACUUCAUGGCAUGUGAUUUUCCAUUAACUAGAUUUGAACAUUGUAAUAGGACAACUAAUAAGGUUGCUCAUGAACUUGCUAGGCUAGCGAAAGUUUCUGUAACUAGAGAUUGGUUUGAGGAGCCUAUGGAGAAUAUUGUACCUCUUCUUAUAGACGAUGUAACCAUUAUUUCCAAUCAAUAA
rnacentral:rRNA from 1 species